CCUAAAGCAAAUAUUAUGAUUAAUUAAGCCAUAGGGCUAAUGAGGUCCAUUUGGAGUAAUUAGGAUCUUAGCUGCUAAAGACAGGGUAAAUAAUAGUGGGUAAGGUUUCUUUAAGGCCAGACAGAAUCUUGGGGAGGGUGCCUGUUGGAAUUCUGGGUAGCUUGAGUCAGUUGGGGUUUCUAACUGCCAACAGACUCCUGGAGGUUUUUUCCCUAGGAGAAGGUUGGUGUUUCUGUUCCCUGGAACACUGAAAAACCCCAGUGGCAGGUGAAGGAGGAGAACAGGCUGGUCUACAUCAGGUAUAAAGUCAGGAAUAGAACUUCUGAAUCAAAGACUCAUCAAAGUAUUGACGUCGAGAGCUGGAAGUGACCUCAGAGAUCAUCUUAUCUCAUCUCAAUUUACAGGUAUGGCCAUGAAAAAUUCCAUGGAAGCAUAGCCUAAAGGAGACACCAACCCUACCCAUAGGCAGCAUGGGGUGAUCACCCAUCAGUCAUCAAUAACGCACUACCUAUUAUUUUAUCCAAAGCCCUUCCUUCUAUAAUGUAUAAAAUUACAUGUAAGUGUUACUAGCUUUAAUGAUCACACUCUCUAGUGACUAUUAAUAAAAUGCAUAUUUUAUUGCA
rnacentral:lncRNA from 1 species